AGAUUAAACUGAAGAGUUUGAUCCUGGCUCAGAUUGAACGCUAGCGGGAUGCUUUACACAUGCAAGUCGAACGGCAGCAUGAGAGAGCUUGCUCUCUUGAUGGCGAGUGGCGGACGGGUGAGUAAUGUAUCGGAACGUGCCCGGCAGUGGGGGAUAACUACGCGAAAGCGUAGCUAAUACCGCAUAUUCUCUACGGAGGAAAGAGGGGGAUCGUAAGACCUCUUGCUACCGGAGCGGCCGAUAUCAGAUUAGCUGGUUGGUGGGGUAACGGCCUACCAAGGCGGUGAUCUGUAGCUGGUUUGAGAGGACGACCAGCCACACUGGGACUGAGACACGGCCCAGACUCCUACGGGAGGCAGCAGUGGGGAAUUUUCGACAAUGGGGGAAACCCUGAUCGAGCCAUCUCGCGUGUGGGACGAAGGCCUUCGGGUUGUAAACCACUUUUCUCAACGAAGAAAAGUCUUAGGCUAAUACCUUAAGAUGCUGACGGUAGUUG
rnacentral:rRNA from 1 species